rnacentral:lncRNA from 1 species
CUCCAUUUUACAAGACUAAGCCAUCUCUUGUUAACAUCAUGUUAUUGCAUAUCAUGGGCUGAAAUAUCACCAAUCUAUCCAAAGGCGUCAUAUUCUAAAAAGGCAUCAUCCUCGUAGUUGGAAGACACCAUGCCAUGGUCUGGGGAUCUCUCCCAAUUUUUUACAUUAUUAUUCAAUGGCGUCAUAGUUCAGAGGCACCAUCCUCAUGGCUCGAGAACAUCAUUUCAUGGCCUGCAAAUCUCUCACUAAAUAAUUCAUGGCCCAGGACCUCAUCUUUAACCAUCCAAAGACGACUUUCACGGUCAAAAAGGGAAUCUGCAUCAUGCUUAAAUUUUUGCAAGUACAUGUUCGUAGCAUCUUAAUGUCUGUUGGUGACCAGUGAGAAACUGUUAUCCUAGCAUGAACGACCUUGGCCCAGUCCCUUCAACUAUCUCAAACUUGACUAACCACUCUUGCAUCCUUUCUAAAAUCUCGUAUUUUCGUCCUUGUAAUUACUUUAUAGGUAUAUUCCGCCAAUGAAUCUUGAACUACACAUGGCCUGAUUCCUAUAAAACCAGGGAUAUGUAGGCAGCUCAGAAGCCAUGGUGCGGCCUAACCUCUUGAACUAUUUCGCUUAGUCAAAACUGGCCAUUAUAUCUCUAUCCGACAACUCUUUCAUUCUUUUCGGGUAAAGAGGGGUAGCUGUUGAUACCUAAUUUUUCCCAAAAAAAUAUUUCAAAUUGCAUAUAUGUCUUCAAAAUCAUGCAUUAAUUAGCAACUGAUAUUUUCCCACAAAUUUCCUAUAUUUUUAUUAAUUUACCCAACAUUUUCUUUCUAAUAAAUAAUUACAAAAUGGCAUUACAAAUGAUUUGAUAAUCAUUUCUUGAUUUAAUUUAUUAUUCAUG